CGGAAGGUUACCUCGGUAGUUCAGAGACACUCUUACCCAGCCCCCGGGGCCUACGAGCAGGAGAGGGAAGGAGGCCGGCCUGCUCAUCAGCCAGCCACGGCCUUGAAGGACGACGGAGGGAAGUGAGCCUCUUUUUCCUCGGAGUAUCCUUAGGAUUGCAGCUACAGACACCAAACACCAACUCCAGGAACCGGGCCCACUGACUACAGCACCCUGCCUAGGCUGCCAACAUGAAUAGAUCCCAACCGCCACACUAUUACGCUAAAGCCAGAGGCUGCCCCGCAUACCUACAAAUCCUGCUGGCUAAGAAGUUUCAGUUCACUUCAGGUGUGGCUGAAAUUUUCCCUUCAGUCAGGCUCCUCAACCAUUGCAAUCUCCAUGUGUGAAGAUUUGAGGCCUACAGAGGCAAGGCAGCUUGGCAGGAAGGGAUCCCUCAGAGCAGCAUUCCUCAACCUGGGCCCCUCUAGAUGCUGUAAAUUACAAAUCCUAUUGUCCCUGCCCAUUGACCUUGUUUGCUGGGAGUUGUAGUACAACGUUCUGGAGGAAUACAAAAUGUGGAAGCCUG